rnacentral:rRNA from 1 species
GACGAACGCUGGCGGCGUGCCUAACACAUGCAAGUCGAACGGAAAGGUCUCUUUCGGGGGGUACUCGAGUGGCGAACGGGUGAGUAACACGUGAGUAACCUGCCCUUGACUUUGGGAUAACUUCAGGAAACUGGGGCUAAUACCGGAUAGGAGCUCCUGCUGCAUGGUGGGGGUUGGAAAGUUUCGGCGGUUGGGGAUGGACUCGCGGCUUAUCAGCUUGUUGGUGGGGUAGUGGCUUACCAAGGCUUUGACGGGUAGCCGGCCUGAGAGGGUGACCGGCCACAUUGGGACUGAGAUACGGCCCAGACUCCUACGGGAGGCAGCAGUGGGGAAUAUUGCACAAUGGGUGGAAGCCUGAUGCAGCAACGCCGUGUGCGGGAUGACGGCCUUCGGGUUGUAAACCGCUUUCGCUCAUGACGAAGCUUUGUGUGACGGUAGUGGGUAAAGAAGCACCGGCUAACUACGUG